rnacentral:rRNA from 1 species
GACGAACGCUGGCGGCGUGCUUAACACAUGCAAGUCGAGCGGUAAGGCCCUUUCGGGGGUACACGAGCGGCGAACGGGUGAGUAACACGUGGGUGACCUGCCCUUAGCUCUGGGAUAAGCCUGGGAAACUGGGUCUAAUACCGGGAUAUGACUCCAUGACGCAUGUUGUGGGGUGGAAAGCCUUGUGCGGCUAGGGAUGGGCCCGCGGCCUAUCAGCUUGUUGGUGGGGUGAUGGCCUACCAAGGCGACGACGGGUAGCCGGCCUGAGAGGGCGACCGGCCACACUGGGACUGAGACACGGCCCAGACUCCUACGGGAGGCAGCAGUGGGGAAUCUUGCGCAAUGGG